UGGGACUUUUUCUAUGUUUGUCCCCAUUUAUGAAGGGAUUAAACCAAAGCGUAAACAUAAAUGUUAAAAACAGGCAAAAUGAGGCUAGGAUCUUUUAAAAAGCUCCGGCCUGUUUAUUAAAAAUCAAAGCAACUGAAGACGAGAGCCCAGGGUAAGCCUGUGGCCUAGGCAGCAAGUCAGAGAUACAAGUGUCAGCCUGUAUGCAGCACAGGGUGCUUCCUUGGACACUGGCUCCGCAGAAAGACCCAGGCGCUCAGCACCCGGGGGUUUUAAAGUCUCUUAAAGCUACCGGAUUGGUGCGCUCUUGAUCCUUUCAUAGAUUGGCCUUUUUCCGCUCACUGGUUGGUCCAAUUUGCGGUGCGUUCCUGGCCAGUCAUUCUGGGAUGCUUCCAUGUCACUGGCUGGCUCGUUGUCCGAUUACAGUCCGGGCUGCUGUCAUCAGGCCGUGAGGUUACAGCCCAGUACCCGGACAAACAUCAAGAUGCUCUCCAGCGUGAUUGUGUGGCUGCCCUGGAUCAUUGUCAGCACCAGCACUGCCUGGAUCAUCCAACAGCCCAAGCAAAAUAAAUGGGUCACUCUUGUGAAGUCUUUACAACAGGACAGUUUCUGCAUGGCCAUGGGCAGCGUGGAAGAGCCUUUAUCCCCAUGCCUGCUGGGAAUCCCUUUGGCAUCCAAAGAUUAUCCCUAUACAGAGGGAGCUGUCCAUCCUCCUAAACUUAUACCAGAGCAUGGCAAACGCCCAUGUGCCUGCCAAACAUUCAGACGUCGCCCUGGAAGAGUUACCUUGGACAGGGCUUUGUGCGCUCUUGCGUGAGAAUGUUGAAGCCCUGAUCUUGAACUUCCACAAGGCUAACGAGAGGCUGAGUGUCCCCAGGCAUCAGCUGCCUCUGCUGAGCUCAGGGACAUUUGUGCACACUGCAGUCUCGUUACAAAGGAGAAGGAGGAGUGGUAUUCAUCCCCCCAAGAGGAUUUGGACAUUAACAAAUGAACACCAUUAAUUAUGGCUGGUCCACUGCUCAGUUUGAUGCUGUUGCUGUGAGCAUUUAGAUGGGACUGGAGUGUGCAUCAAGUCUCUCAGCUCCACUUUCUGUGCAGGACAUUCUGAAAGGACUGUCUGAUACCUGCCACAGGCACCUAAUUCAAGGAUAAUAAAUUCAUCUUACUGAUGGAGAAACUCACAGAAUGUAGUCAUUUCCAGUCAUAAAGCAAGUCUUUAUUUUACCAUAACCCAUAGGCAAAAUACACUUUCUCCAGGAAUACCAUCUUUAAAUGAUGUGUUUAUGACUCAGAUGCACUAUUUGAAAGAUUGCCAAUGUGAGGUUUUCUGUUUAAUGGUAACUUUCGGAUUAUGGCAUUUUUAUUCAGAAACACAAUAGAAAUAGCUAUUCUAAAACAUGUCAGUAUUUGUGUGAAGGAGGAGCUGUACUUUUCUGAGUGAUAUUAAUGCAAGUGAGCUUACGUGGCCUUUCUUCCCAGAAAACCUUGUAUUUUUAGGGAAAAACAAACAAAAGAAACCUUUCUAAAUUGUGGUAGAUAGGGACAGGCGAACGGAAGAUCUCGGGAUGUGACGGAAAGCUAGACCCUUCCCCCCUUCUUCCUGCUAUA